GUGCUCACUUUGGUAGCACAUAUACUAGCAUUGGAAUGGUACAGAUGUUAGCAUGGCCCCUAUGGCAGGAUACCACACAGAUUUGUGAAGCAUUUAAUAAUUUU